CAAGUCGAACGGAAACGAUGGGAGCUUGCUCCCAGGCGUCGAGUGGCGGACGGGUGAGUAAUACUUAGGAAUCUACCCAGUAGCGGGGGACAACUCGAGGAAACUCGAGCUAAUACCGCAUACGCCCUACGGGGGAAAGCAGGGGAUCUUCGGACCUUGCACUAUUGGAUGAGCCUAAGUCGGAUUAGCUUGUUGGUGAGGUAAAGGCUCACCAAGGCGACGAUCCGUAGCUGGUCUGAGAGGACGAUCAGCCACACUGGGACUGAGACACGGCCCAGACUCCUACGGGAGGCAGCAGUGGGGAAUAUUGGACAAUGGGGGCAACCCUGAUCCAGCAAUGCCGCGUGUGUGAAGAAGGCCUGCGGGUUGUAAAGCACCUUCAGUAGAGAAGAAAAGCUUACGGUUAAUACCCGUGGGUCUUGACGUAACCUACAGAAGAAGCUCCGGCUAACUCCGUGCCAGCAGCCGCGGUAAUACGGAGGGAGCGAGCGUUAAUCGGAAUUACUGGGCGUAAAGCGCGCGUAGGCGGUUUUGUAAGUCGGAUGUGAAAGCCCCGGGCUCAACCCGGGAAUUGCAUUCGAUACUGCAGAACUAGAGUAUGGUAGAGGGAAGUGGA
rnacentral:rRNA from 1 species